UGAGGAAUAUUGGUCAAUGGGCGAGAGCCUGAACCAGCCAAGUCGCGUGAAGGACGAAGGAUCUAUGGUUUGUAAACUUCUUUUAUAUGGGAAUAAAGUGAGGAACGUGUUCCUUUUUGUAUGUACCAUAUGAAUAAGCAUCGGCUAACUCCGUGCCAGCAGCCGCGGUAAUACGGAGGAUGCGAGCGUUAUCCGGAUUUAUUGGGUUUAAAGGGUGCGUAGGUGGUUAAUUAAGUCAGCGGUGAAAGUUUGUGGCUCAACCAUAAAAUUGCCGUUGAAACUGGUUGACUUGAGUAUAUUUGAGGUAGGCGGAAUGCGUGGUGUAGCGGUGAAAUGCAUAGAUAUCACGCAGAACUCCGAUUGCGAAGGCAGCUUACUAAACUAUAACUGACACUGAAGC
rnacentral:rRNA from 1 species